rnacentral:rRNA from 1 species
AUGUCUCAGACAUCUGAGGAAGAGUCUCUAUUCAACUUCCGGCAGCAACAGAAGCUGGCACUCUGUGAAGCAGCACUGAGCAAAGGCAACCCCAUCAUCCAUGCAGGGAAAAAGAGACGAGGUCAUCCUGGCCAACCAGAUCCAGAUGCAGAAGUAGUUGCAUUCUCACCCAAGACAUUAUUGGCAACAAACAGAUAUAUAUGUGAAGUCUGCCAUAAGGGUUUCCAGAGAGACCAAAACCUUCAACUCCAUAGGAGGUGUCACAACUUACCAUGGAAGCUCAAGCAGACAAGCGGCACCGACGCUAAGAAGAAGGUGUAUAUUUGCCCUGAAGCCACCUGCCCUCACCAUGAUGCAACCCGUGCUUUGGGUGAUCUAACAGGGAUAAAGAAGCACUACUCAAGGAAGCAUGGCGAGAAGAAAUGGAAGUGUGAAAGAUGCUCUAAGAAAUAUGCAGUCCAAUCGGACUGGAGAGCACACACGAAGAUAUGUGGCACCAAGGAGUACCGCUGUGAUUGCGGAACAAUAUUCUCAAGAAAGGACAGCUUCAUCACACAUCGAGCCUUCUGUGAUGCAUUAACUGAAGAUAACUCCAGAAUCAACCAAAGCCUUGCUGCCAUGGUGGGAAGUUUGCACGGUCAACAGCAGUGCAUCUUUCCGCACACGAUACCUGGUGCAGACUCUUCCCCAACUGAUGCAGCCGGAAACUUCUCUGGUAAUGACCAGAGUUCAGACGACCAUCUGGGGUCUUUAUCACCUUAUACUUUCAUCCGAAGGUCCACUUCAUUGUUCUCCAACCAGAUGAUAUUACCACACGAUUCUGGCACUCUAGCAGAUGGGAGUGAACCAAGCUCUCCUUACAUGUCCAUGAGCUCUCCAUACAUGUCAGCCACAGCCCUGCUACAGAAAGCAGCAGAGAUGGGAGCAAAGACCAGUGAAGAUCCUACCACGCCAUUGCUUCUGAAAGGUUUCCCGAACUAUUUCACCACCAAAGGUCACAUUGGAAUAUCUUCUGGCAUCCUAGGGACCCCAAUAGCUAAUAGUGAUAGAAAGAAGACUGCUGAAGACAACAGCUCCUACAUGAACUCAACAUGGACUGGUAGCUGCAUGAGACCUCCUAAUGCAGUGCCUUGGAUCGGACUACCACCAUUUUCCAUGGGGGCAGAAAAUAGAAGCUCUAUCAUGGUUGACGCGGAUCAUAUGCAGCAAAAUGCACAUGAGACCAUUUUUGGGGUUAGAGAUGUGGGACUAACGCAAGACUUUCUAGGUUUAGGAGGCCAUGGUAAUGCCGAGAUGCACGAUGACACCUACAAUGGGGAAAUGGCAUUAAGCUAUUCAAAUGAGCAGCAGAAAUCUGAGCAAGAUAUCUACUCCUACCAUCAGUAG